rnacentral:tRNA from 1 species
UCCUUGGUGGCUUAGUGGGAAAGAAUCUGCCUGCAGUGCAGGAGACCUGGGUUCGAACCCUGGGUCGGGAA